UACGUAGGGUGCGAGCGUUAAUCGGAAUUACUGGGCGUAAAGGGCGCGUAGGCGGCCCUGUCAGUCGGGUGUGAAAGCCCGGGGCUCAACCCCGGAACGGCACCCGAGACGGCGGGGCUGGAGACCGGGAGAGGAGGGUGGAAUAGCCAGUGUAGAGGUGAAAUUCGUAGAUAUUGGCUGGAACACCGGUGGCGAAAGCGGCUCUCUGGCCCGGUUCUGACGCUGAGGCGCGAAAGCGUGGGGAGCAAACAGG
rnacentral:rRNA from 1 species